rnacentral:misc_RNA from 1 species
UCUGUUAAGACACGAAAGAUACAAAAAGUCGCUGCGGAGUGUCAAUAUCAUAUCUGUUCCUUACUUACAAGAGGAGGUCCAGUAGUAUUUUAAAACUAUUUUAAAUUGUUUUAUAAUUUUUAAUUUGUGUAACUAAACAUGUUUUCUAUUACUAAAGUUAUUACUCCAAUAGUAAUAAUAAUUUUGUUAUUUUGUAUAAUUGAAUAUAUAAUAAAUAAAUUUCGCGAAUAUAAUAUGGUAAAAAAAUGUUCUGGACCAAAAGUAUAUCCUUUGAUCGGAAACUUAAAUAUGUUUCUUGGUUAUUUAAAAGAUAUUGUGGUUAGGCCCUAAAUUUGUCCUAAUCUUCGGUGAUCCUGAAAGUAUUGAGAAUCUAUCAAAAAGUUCUAACGAUUAUGAAAAAAGUAUUGCAUAUGACUUUGUAAAAAUUCUUGUGGGUAAUGGAUUGUUUACUGCACCAGAGCGAUGGACAUAACUUUACAAAGAGCAUUAAAAUUCUGGUUACAUCUAAAUAAUAUAUUUAACAAUUCAUCUAUGGAAAAACGGCUACAAGAACAUCUUUCACACAUUAAAAAAAUAACGAGCGAGAUUAUAAGGAAAAAGAAGGAGUCAAUGCACAAAGAUAACUUUACUCGGGAAGGAAAAGGUCCAUAUGCAAGAAAAGAUGCCAGUUCAUUUCUAGACGCCAUGUUAAAAACGCUUUACAAGACCGGAGAAUAUUCGGAGAUGAAAUAUUCAUGAUGAAAUAAAUACAAUGGUUUUUGCAGAUCAAAUAUACGAAGAGUUGUACGAUUUGUACGUCUCAAACGAUCCGAAAGAUGUUUUUAUUACAAUGGAAGAUACUAAGAAAAUGAAAUAUUUGGAUCGAGUCAUCAACAAAUUUUUAUGUCUUUUUCCUCCAACACCAUUUAUUGCAUGCAAACUAUUUAGGGAUACGAAAGUGGACGCCAAUGUGAUAAUACCAAAAAAUUGUCGUGUGGUUGUUGCAAUAUUUUCACUUCACCGAAAGGAUAAAUAUUGGAAUGAUCCUUUAAGAUUUAACCCGGAUAGGUUCCUCCCGGGAAAUUAUAACCCGAAAUGUUUCAUUUCGUUCAUCGUUCAGCUUCGGGAAAAGAAGAUUCAUAGAUCAAAUAUUUGGCAUGACCCAAAUGAAGGCAAUAGCUGCUAGUCUAUUUAGAAAUUUUAUUGUACGUAUAGACGAUCCAUUAUCAGUUGAAAAUACUAACUUAAAAUUCAGAAUAACUUUGCAACCAGUGAAACCUAGUUUUUUGAGAUUGACAAUUUUUUACCAUAUAUAUGAAAUAGAAAUGUACAUUUUAAAUCACCAAGAAACAUAUUUAGGUUUCUGAUCAAAGGAUAUACUUUUGGUCCAGAACAUUUUUUUACCAUAUUAUAUUCGCGAAAUUUAUUUAUUAUAUAUUCAAUUAUACAAAAUAACAAAAUUAUUAUUACUAUUGGAGUAAUAACUUUAGUAAUAGAAAACAUGUUUAGUUAAACAAAUUAAAAAUUAUAAAACUAGUUAAAAUAGUUUUAAAGUACUACUGGACCUCCUCUUGUAAGUAAGGAACAGAUAUGAUGUUGACACUCCGCAGCGAUUUUUUGUAUCUUUCGUGUCUUAACAGAAACUAGGAAAGAAUCAUCAAAUGGGGAGCUUAUUUAAGAAAUACCAACAUCGUACUUUUUCAUGCGUCAAGGAUAACGUCAACACGUGUAGACAAAAUUAGAUAAUAAGCUGUAUUUUAUCAAUUCAGUUAUUCCAUGUGUUAUAAUAUUACUUUGCAAAUUCGCAAUCUAUGUAGUUUUUUACAUAAGAACAAGUUAAUCGAUGGUAUAAACAUAGUUUCUUCUUAAAGAAAUCUUGUUUUCUUCCCUUCCCUCUAUUCGACUUUGUAUUAUGCUAAUAAAUAAUUGUAAUUGUAAAAAAUUAAUAAAUAAUUGUAGAAAAUUG